UGUUGAAUGACGUUACGCUUACCAAACCGGAAGUACUCGUCUCACAGUUCGGCGCGGAAACUGAGAGCUAGUGAAACGGGAUGGCAGAAAUUCGUUCAAAGUCCAAACUUAAACGAAAGAAGAGUUCUGUGGAGGACCAGCAAUCUGAUUUAUGUCCCCGAGGAACACCAACGAGGACCAGUGUUACUCCGCUUUCCAGAGACGGAGCAACAAACACUGACAGGUCUUCGCUCCCUGCCGCAGCAUCAUGGUGGAACAACCUGCAGCCCCCUGCUGUGGAGAGCCUGUGGGCGUUCACACUGAUAUCUGCUCUGCCGCACCUGCAGAACCAGCUCUGGGACCCGGUUCCUGAUCUUCCCUUUCCUCCUGCUGCGAGACCUGUGCCACCAAAGGUAGAGGAGCAGUGGAGAUAUGAUCUCUUCAUUGAAGUGCCUCCCUUUCCAGAAAACUGUCCAGCCAUCCCGGUGAUUCCGCCAGACCUAGAACCUCAAAGCGUAUCGUCUUCCCAGGAGACUGUCCCAUUACAGAGCAGACCUUCUCUAAAGUUACCCGACAGAGGUCCGCCCUCUCACAGCAGACAGAGUCUUGACCAGCAGACUGAGCCUCCCCAUCCCCUCCUCUGUAGGAGUCAGAGUUCAACAUUACACAGGUUGGAGAAGGCAGCGUUGUCUUCAGCAGGACAGCCGAGGGACAAGAGAGAAGAAGAAACACGGAGUAGACCUUCACCAACUCAGUUAGACCCACCAGUUUGUGCAGGUGCAGAAGAAGAGGUGCUGAGUGUUAGAAAACAUGACGAAGAAGCUCUGCAGAGCUGCCCCAUGUGUCUUCAUGUGUUCCCUGCUGGGUUCAUGCAGAUGGAGCGGGACAGCCACCUUGCCCAGUGUCUCUCUGAGAUGAAUGUGGACAUGACCUGGUGAGGCGACAGGAAGCUGGCUGCGAUCCCGGAUCUCCAGGCAGCCCAGAUGCCCCGACACUCUCCAGUAUCCAGUCAAAUGGAAGAGAAAGUGGUCAGAUUGCAACACCUUGAAGGCCUCUGACAGACUCCCAUCACCAAACUCUGUCACAAAUGAGAGGGUGAGCUUCGGAGCCAUCCUGCAGAGCUGUGAGGCUGGUCUGAAGUUUGACAAGAAAUGAAGCCCCUUCAGACUGAGGGAGAGCCGCUCACAAUGGCUACACAAUGUGAUGGGUAAUAAAUACUGCCUGAGGAACUUCACAGGACUGGAAGAACAGAUGCUGCCAAAGUUGAAAGUGAUUGGAGUGAAUAUAAUUAGAUAGACAGGUGACAGCAGCAAAUAUCUGAUACAAAUGCUUAAAGCUCGUAACUUUGGAGUUUUUAAGGUAAUAGUUUACUAGCCAGAGAAGGGUUCCUUUUUCACAUAUAAUCUGAUACCUGAGAGAUUAAAAAAAGAAACUAUAAAUAGUUUGACAUCCAGGGUUCAUGUCUAGCCCCAUUUUCUCCAUCCACACGUCUAUUGUGCGUCUGAAGAAAACCAAAACAUUAGCAGAGCCACACUCAGCCAAAAACAGCUGAAAUCCCUACCAAUCUAAUCAGCACACACACUGCUACAAGAAGAAAUUGAGUCUUCUUACAUUUGUCUGCUGUGUUUGUAAUAAUUUCAGGCCCUGGUUCUGAUAAAGGUUUCAUCCUAUUAAAAUGCAGCUCUUUCUAGCUGACAUUUUACAAUGAAUUGGAUCUGGAUGUAUUUUGUUAGAACUUUAUAUAAUUUGAAUAUUUAAAUAAUAUAACAAACUGGACUCCAGUUUGUUCAUGUAAACUCUAGGGUCACUUGUAGAGUACCAAAGGGUUCAGUCCUUGGGCCAAUUACAGUGGUCUGCAAAAGUUUGGGCAACCUUGUUAAUUUCAAUGAUUUUCCUUCAUAAAUUAUUGGUUCUUAGGAUAAAAAAAUCAGUUAAAUAUAACAUAUAGGAGACAAACACAGUGAUAUUUGAGAAGUGAAACGAAGUUUAUACCAUUUA